rnacentral:rRNA from 1 species
UACGUAGGGGGCGAGCGUUGUCCGGAUUUAUUGGGCGUAAAGAGCGUGUAGGCGGCCAGGUAGGUCUGCUGUGAAAACUUGAGGCUCAACCUCGAGACGUCGGCGGAAACCAUCUGGCUAGAGUCCGGAAGAGGAGAGUGGAAUUCCGGGUGUAGCGGUGGAAUGCGUAGAGAUCCGGAAGAACACCGGUGGCGAAGGCGGCCUGCUGGGCAGUUUUGCUGACACUGAGGCGCGACAGCGUGGGGAGCAAACAGG